CCUAAUACGUGAUUGUUUUUACGUUACCGACGAGAAUAAGCACCGGCUAACUCUGUGCCAGCAGCCGCGGUAAUACAGAGGGUGCAAGCGUUAAUCGGAAUUACUGGGCGUAAAGCGCGCGUAGGUGGUUUGUUAAGUUGAAUGUGAAAUCCCCGGGCUCAACCUGGGAACUGCAUCCAAAACUGGCAAGCUAGAGUAUGGUAGAGGGUGGGUGGAAUUUUCCUGUGUAGCGGUGAAAUGCGUAGAUAUAGGAAGGGAACACCCAGUGGCGAAAGGCGACCCACCCUGGACUGAUACUGACACUGAGGUGCGAAAGCGUGGGGAGCAAAACAGGAUUAGAUACCCCUGGUAGUCCACGCCCGUAAACGAUGUCAAACUACCCGUUGGGGAGCCCUUGAGCUCUUAAGUGGCGCAGCGUAACCCAUUAAGUUGACCGCCCUGGGGAGUACGGCCGCCCAAGGUUAAAACUUCAAAAUGAAAUUGACGGGGGGCCGCACCAAACACGUGGAACGAUGUGGUUUAAUUCCGAAGCAACGGGAAAAACCCCUUACCCCGGCCCUUGACAUCCCAAUGAACUUUCCCAGAGAUGGAAUUUGU
rnacentral:rRNA from 1 species